GCCCAAUGAGGAAUUAAAUGGCCGCAGUAUUUUGACUGUGCAAAGGUAGCAUAAUUAUUAGUUUUUUAAUUGAAAGCUUGUAUGAAGGGUUGGACGAGAUAAAAUCUGUCUUUAUUUAAAUUACAAUAGAAUUUAACUUUUAAGUCAAAAGGCUUAAAUGUAUAUAAAAGACGAGAAGACCCUAUAGAUCUUUAUUUAAUUAAUAUUUUGAUAAUUUAAGAUUAUUUUAGUUUAAAGUUUUAAUUAAAUUUUAUUGGGGUAAUAUAGAGAUUAAAUAAAUUCUUUUUAUUUAUUACAUUGAUUUAUGAAUAUAUGAUCCAAUAUUAUUGAUUAUAAGAUUAAGUUACCUUAGGGAUAACAGCGUAAUUUUUUUGGAGAGCUCAUAUCGAUAAAAAAGUUUGCGACCUCGAUGUUGGAUUAAAAAUUAGCUUGGGUGCAGAAGCUCAAGAUUUUGGUCUGUUCGACCAUUAAAUUUUUACAUGAUCUGAGUUCAGACCGGCGUAAGCCAGGUCGGUUUCUAUCUUUAUUUAUCUAAAAUAUUUUAGUACGAAAGGACCAAAUAUUUAAUAUAAUUAUAUUUCUUUUUUGAAUAAUAUU
rnacentral:rRNA from 1 species